rnacentral:rRNA from 1 species
UGGGGGAUAUUGCACAAUGGGCGAAAGCCUGAUGCAGCGACGCCGCGUGGGGGAUGAAGGCCUUCGGGUUGUAAACUUCUUUUGCUCUGAACAAGGCAUGCCUUUGGGGUGUGUUGAGUGUAGGGGUUGAUUAGCGCCGGCUAACUACGUGCCAGCAGCCGCGGUAAUACGUAGGGCGCGCGCGUUGUCCGGAAUUAUUGGGCGUAAAGGGCUUGUAGGUGGCUGGUUGCGUCUGUCGUGAAAGCUCAUGGCUUAACUGUGGGUUUGCGGUGGGUACGGGCUGGCUUGAGUGCAGUAGGGGAGGCUGGAAUUCCUGGUGUAGCGGUGGAAUGCGCAGAUAUCAGGAGGAAUACCGGUGGCGAAGGCGGGUCUCUGGGCUGUUACUGACGCUGAGGAGCGAAAGCGUGGGGAGCGAACAGG